GAAUGUGUAGUGUAGCGGUGAAAUGCUUAGAUAUUACACAGAACACCGAUUGCGAAGGCAGCUUACUAAACUGUUACUGACGCUGAUGCACGAAAGCGUGGGGAGCGAACAGGAUUAGAUACCCUGGUAGUCCACGCCGUAAACGAUGACCACUCGCUGUAUGCGAUACACAGUAUGCGGCCAAGCGAAAGCAUUAAGUGAUCCACCUGGGGAGUACGAUCGCAAGGUUGAAACUCAAAGGAAUUGACGG
rnacentral:rRNA from 1 species